UACGUAGGGUGCAAGCGUUAAUCGGAAUUACUGGGCGUAAAGCGUGCGCAGGCGGUUAUGUAAGACAGAUGUGAAAUCCCCGGGCUCAACCUGGGAACUGCAUUUGUGACUGCACAGCUGGAGUGCGGCAGAGGGGGAUGGAAUUCCGCGUGUAGCAGUGAAAUGCGUAGAUAUGCGGAGGAACACCGAUGGCGAAGGCAAUCCCCUGGGCCUGCACUGACGCUCAUGCACGAAAGCGUGGGGAGCAAACAGG
rnacentral:rRNA from 1 species